rnacentral:rRNA from 1 species
AGCUACAGCCAUAUCAUCCUGAAUGUGCCCGAUCUCGUCUGAUCUUGGAAGCUAAGCAGGGUCAGGCCUGGUUAGUACUCAGAUGGGAGAAAGCCAAUGUUAUAAAUA